AAUGGGCGCAGGGGGCGGGGAUUGUUUACGUCUCGCUCCGGGGCGGAAAGUGGGUCAGGGCCGGGCCGGCGGAGCGCGCAGCGGGGGCUGCAGAUUCUUUCCACCAUGGCCAGACGCCCCCGGAACAGCAGGGCCUGGCACUUCGUCCUGAGUGCAGCCCGCCGAGACGCAGAUGCCCGGGCCGUGGCUCUAGCAGGCUCCACUAACUGGGGCUACGACUCUGAUGGGCAGCACAGCGACUCGGACUCCGACCCCGAGUACUCCACGCUGCCGCCAUCCAUCCCCAGUGCGGUGCCCGUGACCGGCGAGUCCUUCUGUGACUGUGCUGGGCAGAGCGAGGCCUCCUUCUGUAGCAGCCUGCACUCGGCCCACCGGGGCAGGGACUGCCGCUGCGGAGAGGAAGACGAGUGUGAGCGUGGGGCCCAGCCCCUGCUGGGACUGCACUGCGGGCGGGCCUGGGGGUGGGCAGGGCAGAGCCCCAUGGAGCUCUCAGGGCUGCCCCAGCCUGGGCCUCUCUUGCAGAUUUCGACUGGGUCUGGGAUGACUUAAAUAAGUCAUCAGCCACCCUGCUGAGCUGUGACAACCGUAAGGUCAGCUUCCACAUGGAGUACAGCUGCGGCACAGCGGCCAUCCGGGGCACCAAGGAGCUGGGGGAGGGCCAGCACUUCUGGGAGAUCAAGAUGACCUCUCCCGUCUACGGCACCGACAUGGUAAGUUGCUUCGGCCCAGGGUGCUUCUGGGGAACCUGGCUCCGGCAGCCCAGCCCCGCGCCCUCUGCCUGGCCCCUGUUCCUAGAUGGUGGGCAUCGGGACGUCGGAUGUGGACCUGGACAAAUACCGCCACACGUUCUGCAGCCUGCUGGGCAGGGAUGAGGACAGCUGGGGCCUCUCCUACACGGGCCUCCUCCACCACAAGGGCGACAAGACCAGCUUCUCAUCGCGGUUCGGCCAGGGCUCCAUCAUUGGCGUGCACCUGGACACCUGGCACGGCACACUCACCUUUUUCAAGAACAGGAAGUGUAUAGGUGUGGCAGCCACCAAGCUGCAGAACAAGAGAUUCUACCCGAUGGUGUGCUCCACGGCGGCCCGGAGCAGCAUGAAGGUCACCCGCUCCUGUGCCAGCGCCACUUCCCUCCAGUACCUGUGCUGCCACCGCCUGCGCCAGCUGCGGCCAGACUCGGGAGACACGCUGGAGGGUCUGCCGCUGCCGCCGGGCCUCAAGCAGGUGCUACACAACAAGCUGGGCUGGGUCCUGAGCAUGAGUUGCAGCCGCCGCAAGGCUCCAGUGUCCGAUCCCCAGGCAGCGACCUCCGCCCACCCCAGCAGUCGCGAGCCUCGGCCCUGCCAGAGGAAGCGCUGCCGCCGGACCUGACUGACUUCCCAGUGGAACUGCCUUCUUGGGCUGGGACAGCCCCUUUCCUCUGUCCCUUCUUUCUCUGUCCCUUCCUUCCAGCCACACUCCAGGGCGGAGUUGGAUGAGGCCCGUCCGGAGGGAGCCAUCUCUUGCUCCCGAGGCUGGGACAGUCCUUUCUGUGGGGGCUCUAGGGCCCCUCUGCUGCUGUGCUGGGUGGGGAAGCGGCUGCCCUGAGCCCCAGGUCUUGUGGGAGGCUGCGAGGACGAGAGCCUGGCUGGAGCCCGCGUUGCUGUUCCCACAGGGCCUCGGUUUUUCCUAACUUGCUCUGCAUGCUGUCAGCGGCUGCCCCGCCGUCAUAGACUUAAAGGACUGCAAUAAAUGUAGAGUUGAUGU
rnacentral:lncRNA from 1 species